AAUCAACGCUGGCGGCGUGCCUCAGACAUGCAAGUCGAACGAUUAAAGCUCUCUUCGGAGAGUGCAUAGAGUGGCGCACGGGUGAGUAACACGUAAGUAAUCUACCCUCGAGUGGGGAAUAACGUCCGGAAACGGACGCUAAUACCGCAUAAUGCAGCGGCACCGCAAGGUGACAGUUGUUAAAGAUUUAUCGCUUGAGGAGGAGCUUGCGGCAGAUUAGCUAGUUGGUAAGGUAAUGGCUUACCAAGGCUACGAUCUGUAACCGGUCUUAGAGGACGGUCGGUCACACUGACACUGAAUAACGGGUCAGACUCCUACGGGAGGCAGCAGUCGGGAAUUUUGGGCAAUGGGCGAAAGCCUGACCCAGCAACGCCGCGUGGAGGACGACGGCCUCGGUU
rnacentral:rRNA from 1 species